CGUGGGUGAUCUGCCCUGCACUUCGGGAUAAAGGUGGGAAACUGGGUCUAAUACCGGAUAGGACCACGGGCUGCAUGUCUUGUGGUGGAAGGCGCUUUAGCGGUGUGGGAUGAGCCCGCGGCCUAUCAGCUUGUUGGUGGGGUGACGGCCUACCAAGGCGACGACGGGUAGCCGGCCUGAGAGGGUGUCCGGCCACACUGGGACUGAGAUACGGCCCAGACUCCUACGGGAGGCAGCAGUGGGGAAUAUUGCACAAUGGGCGCAAGCCUGAUGCAGCGACGCCGCGUGGGGGAUGACGGCCUUCGGGUUGUAAACCUCUUUCACCAUCGACGAAGGUCCGGGUUCUCUCGGAUUGACGGUAGGUGGAGAAGAAGCACCGGCCAACUACGUGCCAGCAGCCGCGGUAAUACGUAGGGUGCGAGCGUUGUCCGGAAUUACUGGGCGUAAAGAGCUCGUAGGUGGUUUGUCGCGUUGUUCGUGAAAUCUCACGGCUUAACUGUGAGCGUGCGGGCGAUACGGGCAGACUAGAGUACUGCAGGGGAGACUGGAAUUCCUGGUGUAGCGGUGGAAUGCGCAGAUAUCAGGAGGAACACCGGUGGCGAAGGCGGGUCUCUGGGCAGUAACUGACGCUGAGGAGCGAAAGCGUGGGGAGCGAACAGGAUUAGAUACCCUGGUAGUCCACGCCGUAAACGGUGGGUACUAGGUGUGGGUUUCCUUCCUUGGGAUCCGUGCCGUAGCUAACGCAUUAAGUACCCCGCCUGGGGAGUACGGCCGCAAGGCUAAAACUCAAAGGAAUUGACGGGGGCCCGCACAAGCGGCGGAGCAUGUGGAUUAAUUCGAUGCAACGCGAAGAACCUUACCUGGGUUUGACAUGCACAGGACGCGUCUAGAGAUAGGCGUUCCCUUGUGGCCUGUGUGCAGGUGGUGCAUGGCUGUCGUCAGCUCGUGUCGUGAGAUGUUGGGUUAAGUCCCGCAACGAGCGCAACCCUUGUCUCAUGUUGCCAGCACGUAAUGGUGGGGACUCGUGAGAGACUGCCGGGGUCAACUCGGAGGAAGGUGGGGAUGACGUCAAGUCAUCAUGCCCCUUAUGUCCAGGGCUUCACACAUGCUACAAUGGCCGGUACAAAGGGCUGCGAUGCCGCGAGGUUAAGCGAAUCCUUAAAAGCCGGUCUCAGUUCGGAU
rnacentral:rRNA from 1 species